rnacentral:sRNA from 1 species
UUGGUUAGAUAAAGCGAUAAAACCAAGUAAUGUCAUUUCUACGACUUGCGACUAUUGCUUGCGUGUUGUUGCUUAAAAGCUUAUCUACUAUCUUCCAUGCAUGCAUGUGUGGUUGGUUGGUGGGGUAAUUGUAUCACAUGUAAAACGCAAUUACUCAUUGCCAUCGCAGCACAGCACAGCACAACACAGCAAUAAGGUGAAGAAGGAAUAGUGAAAAAUAGAAAAAUACAGAAUAACGAAACGAGGAACGAAUAUAGGGAGGCGCUACAUACUCGUGCAUUGAAUGAGACACACACACACACUCCUACAAAGAAUACAAUGAGUUCAAAAGAGAACGAGAGAGAUGGCCUUACAAAAGACGUUUUUCUUCAUCUCUCAUACGCGGGCAUCAAGUAACACCACACAUAGAUAUGAGGAGACACUGCAGUGUAAACGAUCAUGAGUUAUGUAGUUAAUUGUGUUACAAAGGUUGCCACUGUUAUUGAAAUCGAAAAAAAACCUAUACAAUCAACCAGUCAGUCAGUCAGCAUCCACAUAAUUAAUGAUUGACAUUUAAAUGACACUUGGGGCCCCCGAGGAAAAUUUCAUAAUUUCUUUUGUAGCUAGCACUUUCAUUUGGAAAAAGAGAAAAUAUUGGCAGUAUUAUCUAUAUAUAUUGUAACACACAAAAACAACGAAUACAGCAACCGAUCGCUUUGUAGAAGUUUUGUGGGCAAAGAAAAGCCAACAAAAUUUCACACAAACUCCUAUUUACUGAGGGACACAACACACACACACAAACACAAAAUCAACCGCUCGAUCAACCCGCCGCGCCAAACAUCCGACCAACUUCGCUCGUACGAUGAACAUGAAAUAAA